UCCCUGGUAGUAUAUCGGUUACUAUCCGCGCCUGUCAUGGCCAAUCAACCAAAGGCCUGAGAUAACCGCGCGAUUGAAGCUGGGUUCGAAUCUCAGCCAGGGAG